AGAGUUUGAUCCUGCCUCAGAUUGAACGCUGGCGGCAGGGCUAACACAUGCAAGUCGAGCGGUAGAGAGAAGCUUGCUUCUUUUGAGAGCGGCGGACGGGUGAGUAAUGCCUAGGAAUCUGCCUAGUGGUGGGGGAUAACGUUCGGAAACGGACGCUAAUACCGCAUACGUCCUUCGGGAGAAAGCGGGGGACCUUCGGGCCUCGCGCCAUUAGAUGAGCCUAGGUCGGAUUAGCUAGUUGGUGAGGUAAUGGCUCACCAAGGCUACGAUCCGUAACUGGUCUUAGAGGAUGAUCAGUCUCACUGGAACUGAGACACGGUCCAGACUCCUACGGGAGGCAGCAGUGGGGAAUAUUGGACAAUGGGCGAAAGCCUGAUCCAGCCAUGCCGCGUGUGUGAAGAAGGUCUUCGGAUUGUAAAGCACUUUUAGUUGGGAGGAUGGGUAGAAACUUAAUACGUUGCUACUUUGACGUAACCGACAGAAUAAGCACCGGCUAACUUCGUGCCAGCAGCCGCGGUAAUACGAAGGGUGCAAGCGUUAAUCGGAAAAACUGGGCGUAAAGCGCGCGUAGGUGGUUCAGUAAGUUGAAUGUGAAAUCCCCGGGCUCAACCUGGGAACUGCAUCCAAAACUGCUGAACUAGAGUACGGUAGAGGGUAGUGGAAUUUCCUGUGUAGCGGUGAAAUGCGUACAUAUAGGAAGGAACACCAUUGGCGAAGGCGACUACCUGGACUGGUACUGACACUGAGGUGGGAAAGCGUGGGGAGCAAACAGGAUUAGAUACCCUGGUAGUCCACGCCGUAAACGAUGUCAACUAGCCCUUGGGAGUCUUGAACUCUUAGUGGCGCAGCUUACGCAUUAAGUUGUCCGCCUGGGGAGUACGGCCGCAAGGUUAAAACUCAAAUGAAUUGACGGGGGCCCGCACAAGCGGUGGAGCCUGUGGUUUAGUUCGAAGCAACGCGAAGAACCUUACCUGGGCUUGACAUGCUGAGAACUUUCUAGAGAUAGAUUGGUGCCUUCGGGAACUCAGACACAGGUGCUGCAUG
rnacentral:rRNA from 1 species